CCCUAGCCCCGAUGGGAACGGCAUCCUUUUUUGGCAUUGCGGGGAUAUUGUUGUAAAGAUGACUUCAGUUUGUUCGCAAUACCAAAAAAGAUAUAGUGGACAGCGGGAAACAGC
rnacentral:sRNA from 1 species